rnacentral:lncRNA from 1 species
CUCCCAGGGCUCUCUCCCCUGGCAGGCAUGAUAACAGCUCUGUGCAGUCAGGAGAAGAAAGGAACUGAUGCAUGCAGAGUACCUAGGAGGGCACUUGAUGCAUGCUUGGCGUUUGGUGAACCUUCCUGCCCCACUACCAUCUCUGAGCCAGAGGCUGGGGCAGAGUCGAUGGCUAAAGACUUCAUUAAAACAUCCUUUUCAGAAGGAAGGAAGAGAAAGAAAAAAGAAAGAAGGAAGGAAGGAAGGAAGGGAGGGAGGAAGGAAGGAAGGAAAGAAGGAAAGAAGGAAGGAAAUGGUUUUGCAGUCAGAAGACCCAGACCAAGUCACUUUACCGCUCUGGAGUCUUGUUUUCCUCAUCUCCCAGAGUGACUGUCAGAAUAUAUGCAAUACAUUCAGUAAUAGUCUAACAGUGCACGUGAAGUCUCUCACAGGUGGAUGUGCUAAAAACAAAGCAUGCUGUCUUCUCCACUUGCCCCUCCAGCUGGGCUCUCCUUUCUCUACCUGGGGAGGCAUCUGGGCUUCUCUGCUCUCUGGCUUCAACUUGGAAUUGGCUGAUGGAAGCGCUGGCGAAGAUUGGUGUCUAAAGGAAGAGAGAGGGGUUGGGUGUUUAUCACCCUGGCUCCCUUUCUCCUGCCGGGCUGAGUUGACUGUGUUGAGUUCAUUUACUUAAGGCCCCAGCUCCUUUCCUGCACUCCUUCCCCACUCCUUCAGGGCUGUGGCUAGUCCCUGGGUGCUCCUCAACCCUAACCCUUCCAACCCCUUCAGAGGGCUCUCUGCUUCCUGCUGGAACCCCCCACUGCAGAAAGAAGGUCCCGAUAGCCUAAAGGAUAGACCAGCUUUGGGGAAGUCUUCAGAGGUGCAGGGGUGAGAGCCCAGCUGGGAGAGGAGUCUGCAGUGCUGCCUGUCCAGCCGAGCCCUGUGGAGAGCAGCCCUAGUUGAGGCCUUGCUGCCCCAAUCUUCCUCCUGAAUUUUUCAAGAUCAAGGUCUUGUCUAGCCAACUUUGUUCUACCAGCCCAGGUGUCCAGGCUCUAGGACCCUGACUCACACUAGUAAACUCAUCCUGGACCAACUGAUAUGCCCCAAACUAGCAUACUCAUUGAUCCUGAGAAAGAUACAGGCUGAGUAGCAGGAAUCCUGAGGUCAACUGGUCAGGAGCUUCUCUUUCAGGAAUCAGUAGUAUUAUUAUUAAUAAUAACAGUGACCAGAUACUGAGUGCCUACUAUGUGUCUAGAAACUAGGACUUUCAUUCCUUCAUUCAGCAAAUAUUUAUGAAGGGUCUACUAGGAGUUCCCUGGUAGCUCAGUGGGUUAAGGAUCUGAUGUCACUGCUGUGGCUCGAGUUCGAUCCCUGGCCCAGGAACUUCUGUAUGCCACAGAUGCAGCCCAAUAAAAAGGGGGUCUACUAUAUGCCA